rnacentral:rRNA from 1 species
UACAGAGGGUGCGAACGUUGUUCGGAAUUACUGGGCGUAAAGGGCGUGUAGGCGGCCAACUAAGUCCGACGUGAAAUCCCCAGGCUUAACCUGGGAACUGCGUCGGAUACUGGAUGGCUUGAAUCCGGGAGAGGGAUGCGGAAUUCCAGGUGUAGCGGUGAAAUGCGUAGAUAUCUGGAGGAACACCGGUGGCGAAGGCGGCAUCCUGGACCGGCAUUGACGCUAAAGCGCGAAAGCCAGGGGAGCAAACGGG